rnacentral:misc_RNA from 1 species
UGUUUAUCCAACCUCAAAAAGAA